CAUAUAAUAUAUUAUAUUAUAUAUCUAUUAUAUACUAUUGAAACAUCAGGAAACUAAGUAUCGGAGAGAGAAUUGAAUACAAAUAUUUAUUGAAAGUACCGCAAGGAAUGUGUUAAUAUAAAAAAGUAGUUGCAAUAGCGUACUUUUUGUAUCACGACUUAGCAAGAUUUGAUCAGAAUUCUGCCAUCUCGAAAGCUAGUGAGCUAUUUUCUUUAGGUUUUUAGCACCUUAACUCUAAAUGUAGCAAAAUUUAAGUAAUAGAAGAAAAUAGAGAUGAAAUUUCAUUCGCACUAGUGAUAGCUAGUUUUUCUGGAAAGAUAUAAAAGUGUCGAUAAGAAAAUAAUUAUAAAAUAUUAAUUAUUUUAUAAGAUAUUUCUUGAUUAAUUUUUUUGAGGAUAAGCUCGGGAAAAAGUUAAGAUAUUUUACUUGAUUUAGGUUGUUAUGUGGGCUUAAAAUUGGCCACCAUAAGAGUUUGUUAUAAAACAACAACCCCAAUAUUUAAAAUAAAUAUAUUUUACUCUAACUUUUUACAGAAAUAAGGACUAUAAUUAAUAAAUGUUUUGUGCCUAUGCUAGGAUGAGUAUUAAAAUUUUGUAUGUGUUAAGAAAGUUUUAUAUAUUUUCUUCAAAAAAGAUAUUAAUCAAACCAAAUUAGUUAGAAGGAACUCGGCAAAUUCAAUGCUUCGCCUGUUUAUCAAAAACAUGGCUCUUUGCAUUUAUUUUAUAAAGAGUCAGGCCUGCCCAGUGAAUAAUAUUUAACGGCCGCGGUACUCUGACCGUGCAAAGGUAGCAUAAUCAUUUGCCUUAUAAUUGAAGGCUAGUAUGAAUGGUUUAACGAAAGCAAUACUGUCUCCUUUCUACUUUCAAGAACUUAACCUUUAGGUGAAGAGGCCCAAAUUUAAUUGAAGGACAAGAAGACCCUGUCGAGCUUAAAAGAUACUAUAGAAGUUUAUAUAUUUUUAAAUAAAUUUCCUGUUAAAGCUUUUUAGUUGGGGCGACUAAGGAACAGGAAAAGCUUCUUACAAUAAAUAAACAACCGGGUUUUGAUCCGAUAAUAAUCGAUUAAUGGAAUUAGUUACCGCAGGGAUAACAGCAUAAUCUCUCUUGAGAGACCUAAUCGAAAGAGGGGGUUGUGACCUCGAUGUUGGACUAGAAUAUCCUAAAGAUGCAGAAG
rnacentral:rRNA from 1 species